ACGGGAGGCAGCAGUGGGGAAUAUUGCACAAUGGGGGAAUCCCUGAUGCAGCGACGCCGCGUGAAGGAAGAAGUAUCUCGGUAUGUAAACUUCUAUCAGCAGGGAAGAAAGUGACGGUACCCGACUAAGAAGCCCCGGCUAACUACGUGCCAGCAGCCGCGGUAAUACGUAGGGGGCAAGCGUUAUCCGGAUUUACUGGGUGUAAAGGGAGCGUAGACGGAAUGGCAAGUCUGAUGUGAAAGGCGGGGGCUCAACCCCUGGACUGCAUUGGAAACUGCCAGUCUUGAGUACCGGAGGGGUAAGCGGAAUUCCUAGUGUAGCGGUGAAAUGUGUAGAUAUUAGGAGGAACACCAGUGGCGAAGGCGGCUUACUGGACGGUAACUGACGAUGAGGCUCGAAAGCGUGGGGAGCAAACAGGAUUAGAUACCCUGGUA
rnacentral:rRNA from 1 species